UAUCAUUAUUUCUAGCGUUGAGAAUACUCAAAUUGGAUGGACUUGACCAUUUGUUUCUGUCAGAAAUUGAGGUAUUUGCCAGGUGUGCCAGCGUCCGUCCAUAAUAAGGCGUGGUACGUAUUGAAGACCUACCCAGUGGCAGUGGCAGUGGCAGUGGCAGUGAAUAUUUGGAGAAUGGUUCUUCUUCUUCUUCUACUUCAACACUCCCUCCCUCCAAAAGCUCCGAUUGUAUUGGUCCGGGACCAAUUCAAUACUUCAUUGCCCUUAAAAUUCAACAUGUAAAUUUGGUAGCUUUGCCAGAGUGGUUGGGCGCCGGAACCUGGUGCAUCUGCCCACCAAAUUUGAAGACAAUGAGCGAUGAUUUAUGGUUGCCCCAAAUUUGAAAUUUGAAGACAAUUUGCGGAUCGAGAUUAGCCACGUUCCAUGGGUUGAAAUCAAUUCUCAAUAAGUCUAUAUCCUCUUCUAUUCUCUUAUAAUAUUCGUUCUGGCCAUGGGUGAGAGAGUAUUCCUGACGGUGGCCAUAUUGCAAACAUUUCUAAGACUAACUCAAGAAGCUGGCGAGAAGUUUGCGUCUAGGAAAAUAAUUAAGUUGACAACUGUUGCCAAGGCACUUCAGGAGUGGUAGCUUGUUUGAAGUUUACUUUCUUUCCAUGGGCAAACAGUGGGAUUGCUAAGGGGUGAGUAAAAUCUGCUUCUUAAUUCCCUUUAAUUGUAAAAUGAUGUGUCUAAAUUACUGCUGUGGUGGGUUGUUGUUUUGGAGCAAGUAGGUGGCUUGCAUGGAGAGAAAAGGUGGAGUGUUUUCUAUUAAGAGUGUUGUUUGUUUUGUGACUUACAUUUUUGAAACUCAAUGUGCAAUGGUGAAAUUGUAGUGUAGGUGCGCCUCAUAACAUUUUAGACACUUGAGAUGUAUUAUUUUGUGUAUAACAUUCUAGACAUUUGGGAUGUAAUUAUUGAUAUGGUGUAAUUAAAUAUAUUUAGUUUCUUGGUUUAA